rnacentral:rRNA from 1 species
CCCUUAGAUGUCCUGGGCCGCACGCGCGUUACACUGAUGCAUUCAACGAGCUUAUAACCUUGGCCGAGAGGCCUGGGCAAUCUUGUUAACGUGCAUCGUGAUAGGGAUAGAUUAUUGAAAUUAUUAAUCUUGAACGAGGAAUUCCUAGUAAACGCAGAUCAUCAAUCUGCAUUGAUUACGUCCCUGCCCUUUGUACACACCGCCCGUCGCACCUACCGAUUGGAUGGUCCGGUGAAGCCUCGGGAUUGUGUUUCUUGCCGCUUUAUUGUGGCGUGACCGCGAGAACUUGUCUAAACCUUAUCAUCUAGAGGAAGGUGAAGUCGUAACA